UAAAGCGUGCGCAGGCGGUUUGUAAGUUUGUCGUGAAAUCCCCGGGCUCAACCUGGGAAUGGCGAUGAAGACUGCAAGGCUAGAGUUUGGCAGAGGGGGGUAGAAUUCCACGUGUAGCAGUGAAAUGCGUAGAUAUGUGGAGGAACACCGAUGGCGAAGGCAGCCCCCUGGGUCAAAACUGACGCUCAUGCACGAAAGCGUGGGGAGCAAACAGGAUUAGAUACCCUAGU
rnacentral:rRNA from 1 species